UGGGGAAUAUUGCACAAUGGGCGCAAGCCUGAUGCAGCAACGCCGCGUGAACGAUGAAGGUCUUCGGAUCGUAAAGUUCUGUUGCAGGGGAAGAUAAUGACGGUACCCUGUGAGGAAGCCCCGGCUAACUACGUGCCAGCAGCCGCGGUAAUACGUAGGGGGCUAGCGUUAUCCGGAUUUACUGGGCGUAAAGGGUGCGUAGGGGGUCCUUCAAGUCGGUGGUUAAAGGCUACGGCUCAACCGUAGUAAGCCGCCGAAACUGGAGGACUUGAGUGCAGGAGAGGAAAGUGGAAUUCCCAGUGUAGCGGUGAAAUGCGUAGAUAUUGGGAGGAACACCAGUAGCGAAGGCGGCUUUCUGGACUGCAACUGACACUGAGGCACGAAAGCGUGGGUAGCAAACAGG
rnacentral:rRNA from 1 species